UACGUAGGGGGCAAGCGUUGUCCGGAAUCAUUGGGCGUAAAGCGCGUGUAGGCGGUCCGGUAAGUCCGCUGUGAAAGUCGGGGGCUCAACCCUCGGAUGCCGGUGGAUACUGUCGGGCUUGAGUACGGAAGAGGCUAGUGGAAUUCCUGGUGUAGCGGUGAAAUGCGCAGAUAUCAGGAGGAACACCAAUUGCGAAGGCAGCUCGCUGGGACGUUACUGACGCUGAGACGCGAAAGCGUGGGGAGCAAACAGG
rnacentral:rRNA from 1 species